AAAAAAAAGAAAAAGCAACAGAAUAUAUAAAGCUCCUGAUUAACAGUUUAGGUGCAGAACCCUAUUUAUAGGGUACGCGCUCUCCUAUAACGCCACGAUCCUCCAGCCUGUAGCAGAACAUUAUUGAUGCAGCUGCAAGUGCUCAAAGCUUAAACAAUAUUUUUUCCAAAAGCCCCAGCAGCCCGCCCGGGAGGAAGGUGGGGACGGGCUGGCGAUGGAGUCCUGAAUGUUACUCCUCCAGUUUCAAGGACAUCUUGCUGAUGAGGAUUUGGUUAAUGGAGGAGAACUUAUGUCCUAGCGGUGACGUCAUUGGGUCCCAAUGUAAUCCUCUUGUGCUGAACCCAAUCAGCAGAUGUGCUGAGAGCCGGGAUGCGGAGAAGAAGCUCUAAUCCCUUAGACUGGAUGAGAUCAGCUGAAACAGCCAGGACUAGACCCCAAACCCCUCUGCUAGGAAGAUCAAGAGAAAAGGGAUAAAUUGAGAGAGACGCCUCAUAACCCCUUUAAAGAGCUUUGGAGAAGAGAAGAGAAAGAUGGGUGGUGCACCAAGUUCAUCUUGCUUUUAAAGCCUAGCGGGAGCCUGGUUUUCACUCUGAUGAGGUCCUUCUGCAUUGUUCCAGGGCAGGAGGAGAGAGGAGGAAAAAAAAAAAAAAAAAAAAAAAAAGAGAGAGAAAGAAAGAGAGAAAAGGAAAAAAAAAAAAAAAAAAAGAGAGGAUAAAAAGUCUGAAAUUCAAAGAUAAUGAGAGACUAGGCGCCUUUCUUAUUCAUCUCCAGCUUGCCUACACAGAACAAGCGUCCCGAGCCACGGGAGGGCGUUUGCACUGGAUCUGAGCGCGGCAGCGGAGUUUGCGCCGCCGGAGCCGGGCGCUGCUUCCCCCGGAGUGGCCCCGCUCGCCGCCUGCCCUGCUCCGAGCGGGGACAGCCCGAGCCCCUCUCUGCGUGUUCACAGCGGACCUUGAUUUAAUGUCCAUACAAUUAAGGCACGCGGUGAAUGCCAAGAGAGGAGCCUCACAGCUUCAUUUUCAUGGAAAUUGGGGACAUAAACCCUCUAAUUACACUUAACAACAGCCACGGAGCGAUCUAUGGAGCAUCCUCGGCCUUUUGACAAAUAGGAGUAACAAUGCCGGCAGCGCCUGGCGGGGCAGCUGUCUGCUCGCAUUAACGGGGGCACGGGGGGGACCGGGGGGGGGGGGGGGGGGGGAGGCCCCGCUCCGGUCCCGCCGGGGCUUGCGGGGGCUCCCGGCGUACAAAGGGCAGGAGGAGCGGCAGGACAAUGCGGGCAGAGCUGGGGGGGGGGGGGAGGUGGGGGGGGUGGCUGCGGGCAGCGGGGCGGGGGGGAAAGGAGGAGGGGGGGUGACAAGCGGCCCCUCGUUGCAGAGCGAGGGGACCCCCCCCACCCCCCCCCCCCCCAGAACAAGGGACCCCCCAUUCCUUUCCCGGUGCUUUGAAAGGAGCGCUGGGCUCCGCAAUGCCGUUUGGAAGCUCCCUGAAAAAAAAAACCACCCCUUUGAGGGGUUUUGGGGAAGAGGGGGGUGCUUUUUGCUUUAUUUCUUCACUUGCUUUUUAUUUUUAGUUUUGGUUUUGGUUUUUAUUUUCGCCGUUCCCACCCCGCAGCCCUGCGCCGCUCCUUCCUUGUGCGGGAGCUCGGCCACGCAGCCCCCGCUGCGCUGCGGAGCUGCAACACGGCUCCCCGGUCCUGUCCUGCCUGCCCUCAGAGCUCCUUUGCAACUCAGCUAUUCACGGAACUCAAUAAUAAGCCUGCUAUUUUUUUUUUUUUUUUUUUUUUUUUUUUUUCCAAAACCCCUCCAGCUCAGGCAAGGCGAGGUGCUGCAGCACUGCAGCCGCCCCCAGUGCCACCUCCAGCCCCGUCAGGCUCCGUCACCGCAGCCUGUGGGACACGGCCCCUUUCGCAGUCUCCAGCGAGACUGCAGUAGCCCACGCUGGUUCUUAGGUUAGGCUUUAGACCUCAAUAAACCUCUGUUGUAAGA